CGGAAAGAACGGAAAGAACCUCCACAGAGACAGAAACAUAAGGCAGAAAAUUAGGUGACAGUUCAAGAACAACAACAGAAAGAACGGAAAGAACUGAAAGAACGGAAAGAACCUCCACAGAGACAGAAACAUAGGGCAGAAAAUUAGGGGACAGGUCAGGAACAACAACGGAAAGAACGGAAAGAACGGAAAGAACGGAAAGAACCUUUACAGAGACAGAAACAUAGGGCAGAAAAUUAGGUGACAGGUCAGACCAACAACGCAAAGAACGCAAAGAACGCAAAGAACGCAAAGAACCUCCACAGAGACAGAAACAUAGGGCAGAAAAUUAGGUGACAGUACAAGAACAACAACGGAAACAACGGAAACAACGGAAACAACCUCCACAGAGACAGAAACAUAAGGCAGAAAAUUAGGUGACAGGACAAGAGCAACAACGGAAACAACGGAAACAACGGAAACAAUGGAAACAACGGAAACAACGGACACAACCUCCGAAAUAACAGAAACAUAAGGCAAAAAAUUAGGUGACAGGUCAAGAACAACAACAGAAAGAACGGAAACAACCGAAACAACGGAAAGAACCUCCGCAGAGACAGAAACAUAGGGCAGAAAAUUAGGUGACAGUUCAAAAACAACAACAGAAAGAACGGAAAGAACGGAAAGAACCUCCACAGAGACAGAAACAUAGAGCAGAAAAUUAGGUGACAGGUCAAAAACAACAACGGAAAGAACGGAAAGAACGGAAAGAACCUCCACAGAGACAGAAACAUAGGGCAGAAAAUUAGGUGACAGUUCAAAAACAACAACGUAAAGAACGGAAAGAACCUCCACAGAGACAGAAACAUAUGGCAGAAAACUAGGGGACAGUUCAAAAACAACAACAGAAAGAACGGAAAGAACCUCCACAGAGACAGAAACAUAGGGCAGAAAAUUAGGGGACAGGUCAGGAACAACAACGGAAAGAACGGAAAGAACGGAAAGAACGGAAAGAACCUUUACAGAGACAGAAACAUAGGGCAAAAAAUUAGGUGACAGUUCAAAAACAACUGCAGAAAGAAUGGAAAGAACGGAAAGAACGGAAAGAACCUCCACAGAGACAGAAACAUAGGGCAGAAAAUAAGGUGACAGUUCAAAAACAACAAAAAGAACGGAAAGAACGGAAAGAACGGAAAGAACCUCCACGCAGACAGAAACAUAGGGCAGAAAAUUAGGUGACAGUUCAAAAACAACAACAGAAAGAACGGAAAGAAUGGAAAGAACAGAAAUAACGGAAAGAACCUCCACAGAGACAGAAACAUAGGGCAGAAAAUUAG
rnacentral:lncRNA from 1 species